ensembl:rRNA 5S_rRNA 5S ribosomal RNA
UCACGCAGCCAUAUCACCCUGUACCGCAAGACUGGUUACUCACUGAAGCUAAGCAGGCCUGAGCCUGGACAGUACCUGGAUGGGCGACCACAUGGGAAAACUAGGUUGCUGUUGGAA